rnacentral:rRNA from 1 species
UACGGGGGGAGCAAGCGUUGUUCGGAUUUACUGGGCGUAAAGGGCGCGUAGGCGGCCACCGCAAGUCGACUGUGAAAUCUCCGGGCUUAACCCGGAAAGGUCAGCCGAUACUGCGGGGCUAGAGUGCAGAAGGGGCAACUGGAAUUCUCGGUGUAGCGGUGAAAUGCGUAGAUAUCGAGAGGAACACCUGCGGCGAAGGCGGGUUGCUGGGCUGACACUGACGCUGAUGCGCGAAAGCUAGGGGAGCGAACCGG